rnacentral:rRNA from 1 species
AAAGAAAGCGUAAUAGCUCACUGGUCGAGUCGGCCUGCGCGGAAGAUGUAACGGGGCUAAACCAUGCACCGAAGCUGCGGCAGCGACGCUGAUGCGUUGUUGGGUAGGGGAGCGUUCUGUAAGCCUGCGAAGGUGUGUCGUGAGGGAUGCUGGAGGUAUCAGAAGUGCGAAUGCUGACAUAAGUAACGAUAAAGCGGGUGAAAAGCCCGCUCGCCGGAAGACCAAGGGUUCCUGUCCAACGUUAAUCGGGGCAGGGUGAGUCGACCCCUAAGGC